CUUUCGUCGACCAAAAGUGGGAUUCCCCAGAUGGAAACCUCCUCCGGUGGCGGCGGCGGCGGUGCUGUUUCUUUCACUGCUUCCUUCUCCAUCGGGGCAGGGGUAAACUCCUCUGCUGGUGGCGGUGGAACUUCAUGAACUAUAGUUUCUUUUAUUUCUUCAACAGCAGCUGCAACUUUUUCUUCAAUUUUUUCAACAACAGAUUCUGAUGGCUCUGCCGCCUUAGCCGGUGGAGUGGGUUUCUCUUCCUUCUCUUUCUCCGCCGAGACCUCUGGUUCUGGCGGCGGUGGAACUUCAGAAAGAGCCUCACACGAUUCUUUUUUAUCCUCAGGUUUUGAUUCUUCUUCAUCUUUUUUCUCUUCAGGUUUUGGUUCUUUUUCUUCCUUCUUCUCUUCAGCUUUCGGUUCUUCAGGUUUCUUUUCUUCCUCCUUCGCCAAAGGCGGCGGAGGCGAAGCAGUGAAUUCAUGCUUUUUAAGUGCUUCUUGAACCAACAAUUUGAAUUCAUCCAACGCCUUCUUCUGGGGGUCAAUCAGAUCAUCGACCUUGUUGCUUUCCUCUUUAAAC
rnacentral:lncRNA from 1 species